UUGACCUCGGAUCAGGUAGGGAUACCCGCUGAACUUAAGCAUAUCAAUAAGCGGAGGAAAAGAAACCAACAGGGAUUGCCCCAGUAACGGCGAGUGA
rnacentral:rRNA from 1 species